AUUAUUAGUGUGCGUGCCGCGUUAAAACGAUGAGCCGAAUUCCGCGUACGUUGAUUAGAAAUAUCAUCGCGAUCGAUAACUCGAUAUAUCCGUAAAUAUCGCGUAUCAUUUAAUGAACGAAAUAUUCGUCAAAAUUGAGUUAUAUCGCGGAAGAUAAAGGUUACGUUUCGCGAGUGGCGCAGUGACGCGCGAUUUGAAUUUUUUCCUUUUAUUCCGUCGCGCAUCGUCGAGAUUAUGUAAAAUAAUUAUAUUAUAAUAAAUAAUAAUAAUUAUAUAAUUUAAAAAUUCGCAAAAAAAGUGCGCGGGUGCGUAAUAAAUAUGGUGCCGGUAGUGCCGUGAAUAUUAACGAGCGAGUGUUGUGAUAAUGAAGGGAAUUUCGUCCCCCGAAAGACAGUAAUUCCGAUCAAUGACGUCAUUGCAACUGGCCGUUCUACAGGGGAAUGCUGCAACAGCGAUGAGCGAGUGAUCGUUUUUUUCUGCUAAAUGAUUUCGCACGCGAUCGAAAGAAGAAUCACUCACUUCGCACGAGGAGAGAUUCCAUAGGACCCCCGUGACCAGUUCUUUGAUGUCCGCGUCGGACGUUCUCCGCAGCAGAUUGAUAAGAGCGGGUACGCCGCCGGCGUUCUUGAUGGCGCG